GGGAAUUUUGGACAAUGGGCGCAAGCCUGAUCCAGCCAUGCCGCGUGCAGGAUGAAGGCCUUCGGGUUGUAAACUGCUUUUGUACGGAACGAAAAGGUCCUUUCUAAUAAAGGGGGCUCAUGACGGUACCGUAAGAAUAAGCACCGGCUAACUACGUGCCAGCAGCCGCGGUAAUACGUAGGGUGCAAGCGUUAAUCGGAAUUACUGGGCGUAAAGCGUGCGCAGGCGGUUAUGUAAGACAGUUGUGAAAUCCCCGGGCUCAACCUGGGAACUGCAUCUGUGACUGCAUAGCUAGAGUACGGUAGAGGGGGAUGGAAUUCCGCGUGUAGCAGUGAAAUGCGUAGAUAUGCGGAGGAACACCGAUGGCGAAGGCAAUCCCCUGGACCUGUACUGACGCUCAUGCACGAAAGCGUGGGGAGCAAAC
rnacentral:rRNA from 1 species